ACUGGGUUCGGCGUGUGUUUGAAAGGUUACGCCCCUGACUACGCAUGGGUUUUCCGGUUCUGACUGAGAGUCACAGGCAACGUAAACAAGCGCUAUAUUUCUCUAUAAACGAUGGUGUCUGUACUGCCUUACCACUUCGAGCUCGAUCCAGAGAGUUCAGAAGGCCGUUACGAUAUAAACGAUCUCCAUCAAUGAACGCGAUUGGAUUUAACUUUUUUAGGUGUCCUUAGCUCUGCCAGAAUGCUAAACGAAGACGAAAAUGUGUUGCAAAGAGAUCCAAAAGGUUUUAAGGAGAAUGCAACAUGUUCCAGGGCGUCUUACCUGCGUGAUUCAUCAUCCAGGUUUUGCACAAAUUGUCUAAAUCCCUACACACAGAACAUUUAUUGUACCGACUAUAAGCCUUUGAGGUGCAGGACUAGAAUACGCUUGGAGCUUCCUGAUCAGAUCGGUCACAAUUUUGGCUUUCGACGACCCCUGCACUGAAGAUGGCAUGCAAUCACGUCCUCCUUUGAAGGUCUCUCAAACUGUGAUGCCAGGUCCAUUGGAAUCAGGGCUUCCUUC